AAGAAGUCAAUCUUGGAUGGACAAUCCACCAAAAAGAUAUUGGUCUGUCAGAACAAGAAGCUGACCUGAAGCAGAUGAAAACAAGCAGUUCCAUCUCCAGGAAAAUCAGCUUUGUCUCAGACUACUGGUAAACAGGCAAGUUCAUUCUAUGUGUGUCUAGUUGAUAUGUGCUUACUCUCUUACUGCUGAAAGUGCCUUUGAUAAAUGGCUAAAGUGUUAUCUA
rnacentral:lncRNA from 1 species